rnacentral:rRNA from 1 species
GACGAACGCUGGCGGCGUGCCUAAUACAUGCAAGUCGAACGCAGUGGGGACGGGUGAGUAACAAGUGGGUAACCUCCCAUCAGAGGGGAGAACACUUGGAAACAGGUGCUAAACCGGUAUUGAUGGAUGGACCCGCGUGGCAUUAGCUAGUUGGUGAGGUAACGGCGCACCAAGGCCACGAUGCAUAGCCGGCCUGAGAGGGUGAUCUGCCAAACUGGGACUGAGACACGGCCCAGAUUCCUACGGUAGGCAGCAGUAGGGAAUCUUCGGCAAUGGACGAAAGUCUGACCGAGCAACGCCGCGUGAGUGAAGAAGGUUUUCGGAUCGUAAAACUCUGUUGUUAGAGAAGCGGUAUCUAACCAGAAAGCCACGGCUAACUACGUGCCAGCAGCCGCGGUAAUUC